rnacentral:rRNA from 1 species
ACGCUCGACACCUACGGAGGCAGCAGUUGGGAAUAUUGGACAAUGGAGGAAACUCUGAUCCAGUGACGCCGCGUGAAGGAAGAAGGUCUUCGGAUUGUAAACUUAUUUUGUCAGGGAAGAAAAAUGACUGUACCUGAAGAAAAAGCACCGGCUAACUACGCGCCAGCAGCCGCGGUAAUCUGAGCGGGCGUGGCAAGGC